rnacentral:rRNA from 1 species
CACGCUGUAAACGAUGAGUGCUAGGUGUCGGUAGUCAAAUAUCGGUGCCGUAGUUAACGCAAUAAGCACUCCGCCUGGGGAGUACGUGCGCAAGCAUGAAACUCAAAGGAAUUGACGGGGACCCGCACAAGCAGCGGAGCAUGUGGUUUAAUUCGAAGCAACGCGAAGAACCUUACCAGGACUUGACAUAUAGAUGCUCGGUGUAGAGAUACACAAUUUUCAUAUGAAACAUCUAUACAGGUGG